ACUGCCCAUUUCUGUGACGUCCCGUUGUGUUCCGGUUUCCCGUUUCCUGUACGGGACUCUCACACCGCUUCAAAACACAACGCGGAGUCUGAUCCACGCGCACGCUUUUCUUGUUGAAUCUGUCUCUAUAUUAGGCUAUACAUGUGUAUAUAUUUAGGUGAUUCUUGUUUUGUAUAUAACCUUAGCCCAAUAAGUAAGGGCCCAGCUGUCCCAGUGGAAGUUUAAGCUCUCUGAGCCGAAUCGGAGGACCCCGUCCCGGUGGUUCCCUUCAGAAACGGGAGGGGAGGACGGCGUGCCGCGCUGCAGCGGCUGCUGCCGUACAUCAAAAACG